ACAAGGGAGAAGGCAUCCCCAGGACUGAGUUAGGAAGAGUGCUCAAUGACAUCAGUAUUUCCUACCUUGAUGACCUCUACCCUCUGAAGACUUAAUUUUAUUGAAGAGCCAUCUUUUUACCAUGCUAAAAAGAAAAUCGUCUUACCUCUACCUCGUGAUGUGUCACAUUAUGGACACACAAUGGACACAGAACCAAGAAAGUACACCGGUGACAGUGUUAAGUGGCAAGUGGUUAUAUAGCGCCUACUAUACGCAGGCUCCAUCCUAGGAGUUUCUUCUUGUAUAUCCCUUUCCUACAAAGAUCAAUACUGGCAAAACUUCAAAUUUUGAGAAGACCACAACUGACCGAAACACAGGCUGAACUGCACUCAGUGCAAUCUCUUACACCGAGGUUCUUCACUAUGUGGUUCUUCAUUCACUCUACGAAUUAAACAGAUAACUUCGGAGAAAUGAACAGAGAACUUAAAAUCUAUGUUCAAAAAAAUCCCCAGUUUUCUCUCCAUCUAUAUAUAUUGUCAUCAUUUCUUUCUUCUCACGGUGUUUGCUUCUAGGUAUUCAAUAAUUUCCUUAAAUAAAAACAAACCAUGAAACCAGCCAUACUAUUUAGAUACACUACCUACAAUCAUAAGGAGAAUUCAGUAGUAACUACAAUUUCUUCUCUGAGCGAGAAUAAACUGAGAGGCAAUACUGUCAAAGAGAGACCAAAUAUGGCUUCUGCUCCUUAUUGGCCAUAUUACCUUGAAGAAGAAAAUUUAUUCUGGCCUUAGUACCUCAUUAAAAUCUAAAAGUAAACAACUUUCAAAAUAAUUUCUUCUACAAAAUUGAGGUCAGACUUCUUGGUUAUUUUAUUUUUACUACUUUUCUUACAUUCUGAAUUUUUUUUUUUUUUUAAAGAAAGGGUCUCACUCUGUCACCUAGACUGGGGUGAAGUGGUACAGCCAUAACUUAGUACAGCCUCAAACUCCUGAACUCAAGGGAUCCUCCUGACUCAGCCUCCCAGAUAGCUGGGAUUAUAGGAAUGUCCCAACUUACUUUUUUCUUUUUUUUUUAAGAAAUGAAGUCUUGCUGUGUUAUGCAGCCUGGCAUUUGGAAGAUAUAAACAUGUCAUCUAAAGACCCUGCUUUAAGAGUCAACCAAUGACUGAAAUAAGCUCUCUAAACAAGGUUCCCUGUAGCUCAGGGGUUUGUAAACUACAGCUCACUUGCCAAAUCUAGUCCUCAGCCAGGGAACUCUCCAAAUGAGUUUUACAUUUUUAAGAUGUUGUUUAUAAAAAUAGAAGCAGGAAGGGACUGUACAAGAGAGAUCAUGUUCUAAAAGACCAUAACAUUUACCAUCUAGCCUUUCAAAAAGUUUGCUGACCCCUGCUCUGGUCUACUCAAGAAGCAAUGAGAAAUAAACAGUAACAGCAAAUUAUUAAUUUCUACUAGGCACUGCUCUAAGCACUUUAGACAAAUUAUAUUAUUUAAUCUUCUUCCCAACUACCAUAUGAGAUAGGAACUAUUAUCCCAAAUUUUACCAAUAAGGAAACUGAGGCACAGGAAGUUAAGGUAACUUGCUGCAAGCCAGGAUCUGAAACUGGAGCCUUUGUUCUGUACCUUUAACAUCAGAUAUGUAAGCUGAC